rnacentral:rRNA from 1 species
CGAGCGAGGCCAGGUAGCAAUACCUGAGUCGAGCGGCAGACGGGUGAGUAACACGUGGGUGACCUACCUCGAGGUGGGGGAUAACCCGGGGAAACUCGGGCUAAUACCGCAUAACAUCGUGAGAUCAAAGCGGCCCGCAAGGGUCGCGCCGUGAGAGGGGCCCGCGUCUGAUUAGCUAGUUGGUGAGGUAACGGCUCACCAAGGCGACGAUCAGUAGCCGGCCUGAGAGGGCGAUCGGCCACACUGGAACUGAGACACGGUCCAGACUCCUACGGGAGGCAGCAGUGGGGAAUUUUGCGCAAUGGGGGAAACCCUGACGCACCAACGCCGCGUGGAGGAUGAAGGUCCUUGGAUUGUAAACUCCUGUCACCAAGGAAGAACUCCUUACGGUGAAUAACCGUAAGGAUUGACGGUACCUGCAGAGGAAGCCCCGGCUAACUCUGUGCCAGCAGCCGCGGUAAUACACAGGGGGCAAGCGUUAUUCGGAAUUAUUGGGCGUAAAGGGCGCGUACGCGGCUUCCCAAGUGGUGGGUGAAAUCCCUCGGCUUAACCGAUGAACUGCCCUCCAAACUGCUUUGCUGGAGUCCAGUAGAGGUGAGUGCACUUCUCCGUUGAGCGGUGACGUGCUCACAUGUUGGCAAGAGAACCUCUGCCUAAUGAGGCUCUACGUAACCAACUAGAUAAUGAGACGCGAGCCCCUGUCAAGGAGAGAGCAUUGCAU